CCCGGCCCCGCAGCCAUUCAGGAGCCGGGAGACAGCGGACGCGGGAGGCGGAAGCCAGGCGGCGUUUGCGGCCCAGCGCCGGGAGUGGACCGGGGCGAUCCACCGCCUGCGGCCCGGCGCUUUCGCCGCGCUCCUGGGCCCGCGCGCCGGAGCCGCGAGCGCUCGCCGGGCUCGGCAGAACCUCCCGGCUCUCGGAACUCGUCCGCCUCCAUCGUUGCCCCUCUGACACCCACCGCCCCCUAAACGUGGCCCUUCCCCACGGCCGUAAUUGUUCUCCGGAGGCUCAGCGCUCCUCUUACCACCGCCUCCCCUUUUUAAAGGGCCUUCCCACUCGCCUGCUUCUCCCCCGCGGUGGUGGUGCCGGGCCCUCCGCAUUUGGGGAGACAACAGACCCCACCCCCGCCCCGGAAUAGGAAUAACCGGAUAAUGGGACGGAGACGGGGGGGGGGGCGCUUAUGUAAAUUGUCCCUUUGCAUAGGUUGCAACCCUCUGCCACACCUCGUGUCUGUGAAUUAAAGAGUGGAUGGAGGUCCAGACAAGUCAGGAUACAAAUAUACCUUUGCUUAAGACUCUUUGUUUGCAAGUAACAGAAACCAACCUGAAGUAGCUUAACCAAAAGGGAAGGACUGUAUCAUAAGGUUGCAGACGCUUCUCACAGAAGCCGGGAGCAGGAAUACAGCUGCAGCAAAGGAGUAGACCCAGGAGUUGGAAAGCUUUCAGGAACUCAAAGGAGAAUACAGUCGUCCCACUAUUCAGCUAGGAAGUCAGCCGAGCGUGGAGAUCAGAGCCAAAACAAGGAAGCUCUGUCCGCUGAUAGAACCCUGGAGCAGCUUGAAACACCAUCUUCUGCUAAAAGGAACCGGGAAUCCUUGAAGAAAUAACGCAUUUCACGGUUGGGACAGAGAAAGCGUAAGUGAGCCUGGACCUUCUUGUCGGGCCAGAAAACAUGAAAACGCUCGAAGAGUGAAGGAGACAUUUCAAAACAACAACGUAGUCCGUUUGAAGGGACUCCCGCUGGCCAAAUCUGGGAAAUUGAAACAUCAAAAUAAAUGAUGAUAGUAGGAGAUUA